UGAGACCAGACUGCUUUGUGUAUCUAAAUAAACAGCCAUUGGAAAAGGAUUGAUAAGAUACACUUGCAACCAUAUUUUUCCAUUGUUAGCUUUUGAUCAACUUCCAUUCCAAGUGGACAAUUUACCAGAGUGGUUUGUAGUUAUGAAGGGCCAAUAAAAAAAGGCCAGUGCAGUCUCUAGCAAAAACAGUCCUUUAAUGAAAUCUCCAGAGGAAGAAGAGAGGUGAGUCAUCCAUUUUACUCAAUAAAGUACUCAAGCAACUUGUU
rnacentral:lncRNA from 1 species